rnacentral:rRNA from 1 species
AUUGAACUGAAGAGUUUGAUCCUGGCUCAGAUUGAACGCUGGCGGCAUGCCUUACACAUGCAAGUCGAACGGCAGCACGGGCUUCGGCCUGGUGGCGAGUGGCGAACGGGUGAGUAAUACAUCGGAACAUGUCCUGUAGUGGGGGAUAGCCCGGCGAAAGCCGGAUUAAUACCGCAUACGAUCUGAGGAUGAAAGCGGGGGACCUUCGGGCCUCGCGCUAUAGGGUUGGCCGAUGGCUGAUUAGCUAGUUGGUGGGGUAAAGGCCUACCAAGGCGACGAUCAGUAGCUGGUCUGAGAGGACGACCAGCCACACUGGGACUGAGACACGGCCCAGACUCCUACGGGAGGCAGCAGUGGGGAAU